AAGAAGCCAGGCUAGUUGAAAGCAUCCACUGCCAUGACACAGACAUAAGAACACAGCAGUGCAAAUGGUCACAAGUGAACUCUCACACAGUAAUCUUUCACACUCAUAAGUCUCAAAGUGCUGAGAAUGGGCCUGACGAGAAACCCAAGCAUGUUGCCAGUGAAUAUCUGGACCCUGACUCUCAUUUGGAGUCUACACUGCAACUGCUGGCCUCAUCAUGCAUACUCCUAUGGAGGUGUCUAUGAACACUUCCUUCCCAGAAGUACUUAUUCUGCCAGGACUUGUGGACAGGGUGUUACUCCAAUAGUCAAGGUACAGUACUGUUUGUGAUGUCAUAGGUCAAAUUAGAGAGCUUUUGUACCAGUUCAUAGUGAACCCUAAUUGUGUUUGACACCUAGUCAAGUGAAUAAAGAGGAAAAUCCAGGUAAAACAACCCAGACAUUCCCAGGCACUGCAGCAGUUUGAAUGAUGUGUCUCCAAAGUGAAAAGGUGUGGGUAUUAGGGAAUACCCUAAAUAGUAACCUGCUGUACUUGUAUGCUGCUCCAUGGCAGGCAAAACGGAAGAGCUUCUUGAUUAUUCUGCAAGACCAAUUGAUUUACUGGGAGAACAUGCCCUUGGCAUAUGGUCUUUGUAGGAGCCUAUUUUGAUUGGAUUCAGUUUUGGAAUAUUUUUGUUUGAGUUGGCUUCCUUUGUGAGCUUACUUUGUUUGUGUAUACCAUUUGGAUGGGUAUUCUGUAUUUUACACUGAAAAUAUGUAAUAUGUUAAAUUGCGUACUGGCUCUUUAAGAAUCAGGAGUGUGAAGCUUGGGCGGUAGUGCGCUCUGGGGACAGUGGAGUCACACAGUUUUCUUUACCGCAUCUGUGAUAUUGAAGAUUUAUGAUCAUAAUUUGCCUUUAUUAUUUUAUUUGUUUUAUUUAACUGACAAUCAAGAUUAAAGGAAGAUAUUUUAUAAGAAAACGGACUAUGUGGAUUGUUUUUAACGGACACGGAGCGAGUGAAACCAAGAAGGAAACUAAAUGCGCACUCACAGUCUUCAUGAGGGUUUUUUACCACGGGAACCACAGAACUGUCUCAGGUCUAUCAUGGUAAACCAGAUGAAUCUAGUUUCUUGAGUCUAAACAUCUUGCGUAGUUUCUGCCUAUGUAUAUAGUGGGUGCAGUUUUGGGAGAUGUCUCAAGUCUGUUGUUUUCUUUAUUUUCCAAGGACCAGGGGUGGUAGCCCAGUCAAAACAAACUGUCCAUCCAACCCAGAUAACCUCAGUGGGAGUCAUAGUCAAAGCUGAAAACCUGGAAGAGUGCAGUCUUUUGACACCCUUUGCUAAGACAUGUUUUUGCCACAUCACAUGAAAUGUCCAUGAGCAGAGGGUCUACAGAGUCUACAGACCAACACCUUAAGGGAAAGCCUGCGACAGAAAAUCAUCUUUAUUACACCCAUAAUAAUGCUCACAGGAAAACUUGUAUGUAACUUGAUGUAGUAGAUCUAAUAUUUAUACUCUUGUAACACUCAAUGCUAGCAUUCUUGUGCAUGCAUAUAAACAUUAAUAGUUUUUGUCCUGAAAAUUAGCUUUGAGAGUUAACACAUUUCUUGUUGAAAAUAAAAGUGUGAGGACAGACUUGAUGGAAGGGAAAAACUAAGAAAAUCUUUAAACAAGUUAUUGAUCUCACUUGGACUAGGUACGAAAUGAGCUCUGGGAGCAUGGGGACGGAAGAGAGGGCAACUGCUAGUGCAGCGUCAUGGUUUUUUUUCUUGGUGCAUCCGGAUCCUGCUAAUAAACUUCUUAAAAUGUAGAAAUUGCUGAGCAGUUCUGCAGUUUCACUCUUGCUAAAUACAAAAAGUACUUAACAACUGGCCCUGGGUGGCACAGCAUAUAUUGUAUUACCUUAGGUCCAGGCAGACCAGGUGGACCCUGUAAAGUAAAGACAAAGCUGAAGCAAAUUUCUAACAUAUUCAUUGAAGGACAGCGCUAAACAACAAAAGACUGAAGUUGAUAAGAACUGUAACAUAUCAGAAUACUAUAUUUGAUUACAACACAAUUUAACAAAACAUAAAUACAUUGCUUUGAUUUUGUGUCUUACUGGAUGUCCAUUAAUGCCACGGGCCCCGGCAAUACCAGGAGGUCCAUCUUCUCCCUAAAACCUGGGGCCCCUGGGGGUCCUGGAGGCCCUUGUAAACCUGGGACACCCUGUAAGAGAUUAUCAGCCCAGCAUGACCAUCUGAUCCUGGAUGGCCCUCUGGCCCUGGGGGACCUGGAACUCCUGGAAAACCUUUGUCUCCCUGUGUGUGUAAGAGAGAACCAGACGGAGUGAUGGAGAAAAGAAGACAAGGGGGCAGACAGACCGCAAACAGCAAUAAACAACAAUAAAUUACAUUUUUUACAAAUUUUAAUUUGUAAAUAUUGUCUGUAGUAUGUAAGUUUGUUGAAAACUGCUGCACACUUAAAUACUACUGUGAGAUUGUUGCUUAAUCAGUAACAUACCUGGUGUUGAAUAACAUACCAUUGCAUGUCACCAAUGAAGGCCAAUGCCCAUGUAAAUUUAAGUUUCAGGUGAUCACGGUUGAAAAUAUAAGCUUGUUUACUCCUGUGUUUACAGAUAUUAGAACUGUAAACAAACUAAAAAUAUACUUGUUGUAUAAUUGUUGUCAAGUGUUGGUCCCUGUUAGACCAUAGACUAAUUUUUAGCAAAAUAAAAAUUAAAACUAC